CUCAUAGACUUUGCAUGUGAAUCGGCCGCUCCUGCCGCUCAAAACGCAUUCGGUGUGAACGUACCAAAACUGUAUGUUGGCCGUUUUUUCUCACAAGUUUGUUUAGUUAGUCACUUAUACAAAUCCAGAAAUAUAUUUUUACUGAGACAUCCUACAAGAAUUAUACCGUCUUUAUCUUUUAGUUCAAUGAUUCACAUUGGUAUGUGCACCCCAUGGUACCCCCUGUAUACAGGGGGUACAUGGAAAAAUUUCCCAGGUGUGUAAAAUUAGGACUGAGAUUUGUAGGCCCCUAUGAUUUCCACAAUGCAGAAAUUGCAGACGGAAUCACGGAAUUAACACAAAAUGGAAUCCAGUAUAAAACGUGGAAUUUCAUGGAAUUUGCUCGUUUGGGUGAGUUUGACGUAUUUUGGACACUGCUGUUUUCUGCACCUGCCAUUACCUGGUUUAUUUAUUUAAUUACUUAUUCACUUCCAAGUAGACAUGGGAUGGUCUGAAAUUAUGAUGGUAUGAUAACCUUGGGCAAAAAUAUCACGGUUUCGUGGUAAGACUGUAUUAUGAUUACAACGGUAAAAAUUUUGUUUUGAAAUUUGUAUUUCAAAACAAAAAAAGAAAACCUCUUUUCUAUUAUAAUAUUCAUCUUUAAUUAUCGUUAGAAGCUGUUUUUAGAUAUCAGAGGUGUUCUGCUGAAAUUUUAUUUACCUGUGUGCAUUUAUACUUAUGAUUUUCAGCACCUAAUGCAAUUAGGUUAUCCUGAUAAAGUUUACAUCUAACAGGAUAAAUGAUGUUCCACUGCUUUAUUAGUCAAGACAAAUCAGUGUAUACUGCACAAGUCUUUUGAUUGAAGUAAUGUAUCAUGCUGGGAGUUUUUAUCUUGUUUUAAAUAACAAAGGGGUUUUUGACGUAAAGAUUAUUUGAUUAUAUUCACACAAAAACAAGAAAUAACAACUAUGAACGUGUGUUUAUGAAACACACGUUCAGCUAACGAGCUGCUCAGCUAAUGGAGGCAUUCAGUUUUAUCACCUUUCACUUAAAAUUUAUCAAAUACACAAUCCAACAACUCAAACAGUUUUGCAGACAAGCUGUGAUCAGCGUAUUAAGCCACAGCAACAUGGCGAUAUGUUUCACAAUCUAAUGCUAAAGUUAGCUCGUUCAUUUCAAGAUAGCACAAACUUUACCUGGAGCUGCGAUCAUGUUAGAUGUGUUGCCUCCACGGUCCACAUUGCUGUUGUCUUUACGGCAUCCUAAGUUUUUUCAUAUAACUGGAUUUUUAUUUUUGACAGGGAAAAGUUAGGGGAACUCUGUUAGCCACCAUCACAGAACCCCYGCAGAGCUGCGAGUGCCGACAGGCAGUCUGCUGCAGAGGGAAAGUCUGAAGCUGCACAGACCAGAGGAAAACCAAACAAGCCUCUGCGGAGAAGCAUAGAUGUGGCUGGACAUAAGAUGAACCUCUGUUCUUCUACUCUCCAACACUGUAAAUAUGCUUUUUUUUCUACAUGRCCACACUCCACACUUUUGGAGAUGUGCAGUAUUUUUUYGUUUUCUUUUUUUUACUUCUAUGCAGUGUUUUUUUCUGCUUCCUACCCAGUGAACCAGAGGAAUGUUGGGUGUUGAAAGAAGAGCACCAGGAGAGUUUCAGGGUAACAAGAGAAGAUGCCAACGAGAGAGAACAAAUUCUUAUUAGGCAGAUUUCCCUCCUUCCAUGAUAUAUGAGUGCACCACCACUCAUGGCAGAACUGCAUGCAUUUCUCUUGUGUUCUGGCUUAAACACAGCUAAAGGAGCUGUGGCACUAAGCAGUGCUYGGAGAAAGCCAGCAAGUCGGUAUGGUUCAGAUGGACAGAGGAAUUGAAUGUUUCAUAGACUAGUUUCAGUUCAUAUCAAUCGUUCCACCCAUGAAAUAUUUAAAAUCUACUUGUUUAUUGAAAUAUUUAACACUAAGGCUCUAUUUAUGCUCCAAGAAUCUGCGGGAGAUUUUYAGCCCAUCUAUAAAUCAAAGUCUUUCUGCAAAGCUUGAUUACAGAUCAGACUGAGAUCCCGAGCCUGGAAGUAAAAAAAAAACAGGCCAUCGCUGGAACAUGCUGGGUUUCAAAAGUAAAUAAAACAAAACAAAAAAUAAACUAAUUCAAAAAUAAACAAAAAAACAUUGAAUGUUUAUUGAAAUUGGACUUCGAUGUGGGUAAUCAUUUGGAACUUUGAGGAUGAGAAAAAAAAUAAAGCACACUGAAUGAAUAUUUUAAA